rnacentral:misc_RNA from 1 species
CCGCGGUAAUUCCAGCUCCAAUAGCGUAUAUUAAAGUUGUUGCAGUUAAAAAGCUCGUAGUUGAAUUUCGGGAUCAAUAUUUCGGUCAUGCCGUUGGUAUGCACUGUUAUCAUUGAUUUCUCACCUUCUAAAGAACCGUAAUGCCAUUAAUUUGGUGUUACGGGGAAUUAGGACUGUUACCUUGAAAAAAUUAGAGUGUUUAAAGCAGGCUCACGCUUGAAUACAUUAGCAUGGAAUAAUGAAAUAGGACAUCCGAUUCUAUUUUGUUGGUUUCUAGGAUCGAUGUAAUGAUUAAUAGGGAUAGUUGGGGGCAUUAGUAUUCAAUUGUCAGAGGUGAAAUUCUUGGAUUUAUUGAAGACUAACUACUGCGAAAGCAUUUGCCAAGGAUGUUUUCAUUAAUCAAGAACGAAAGUUAGGGGAUCGAAGACGAUCAGAUACCGUCGUAGUCUUAACCAUAAACUAUGCCGACUAGGGAUCGGAUGAUGUUAAUUUUUUAAUGACUCAUUCGGCGCCUUACG